CCAAGGAGUUUAGCGUGUACGCGAGUCAUUGGGUGUUAAAACCCAAAGGCGUAAUGAAAGUGAAGGAAACUUAGCUUUUUAAGGGAGGAUGGGUCAGGCCCCUUUAAAGGGUCUCCUCGCACUCCCGGGGCGUCUCUAUCCCAUUGGGAGGAGGCGCACCUAGAGCGUACACGCUGAUACCCGAAAGAUGGUGAACUAUGCCUGGCCAGGACGAAGCCAGGGGAAACCCUGGUGGAGGUCCGCAGCGAUUCUGACGUGCAAAUCGAUCGUCGGAGCUGGGUUUAGGGGCGAAAGACCAAUCGAACCAUCUAGUAGCUGGUUCCCUCUGAAGUUUCCCUCAGGAUAGCUUGCGCUCGAACGAGUCUCAUCCGGUAGAGCGAAUGAUUAGAGGCCUUGGGGUCGAAACGACCUCAACCUAUUCUCAAACUCCAAAUAGAUGAGAACCCCGGCUUUCUUGAACCAUGAAGCCGGGGGCUUGGAUCAGAGUGCCAAGUGGCCAAUUUU
rnacentral:rRNA from 1 species